rnacentral:rRNA from 1 species
UCACCUACGGGGGGCAGCAGUAAGGAAUAUUGGUCAAUGGACGCAAGUCUGAACCAGCCAUGCCGCGUGGAGGAUGAAGGCCCUCUGGGUUGUAAACUUCUUUUAUCUGGGAAGAAACCCAUCUUUUCUAAGGUGGUUGACGGUACCAGAUGAAUAAGCACCGGCUAACUCCGUGCCAGCAGCCGCGGUAAUACGGAGGGUGCAAGCGUUAUCCGGAUUCACUGGGUUUAAAGGGUGCGUAGGUGGGCAGGUAAGUCAGUGGUGAAAUCUCUGGGCUUAACCCAGAAACUGCCGUUGAUACUAUCUGUCUUGAAUAUAGUGGAGGUGAGCGGAAUAUGUCAUGUAGCGGUGAAAUGCUUAGAUAUGACAUAGAACACCCAUUGCGAAGGCAGCUCGCUACACUAUUAUUGACACUGAGGCACGAAAGCGUGGGGAUCAAACAGGAUUAGAUACCCUUGUAGUCC